UACGUAGGGACCAAGCGUUGUUCGGAUUUACUGGGCGUAAAGGGCGCGUAGGCGGCAUGACAAGUCACUUGUGAAAUCUUCGGGCUUAACCCGGAACGGCCAAGUGAUACUGUCGUGCUAGAGUACAGAAGGGGCAACUGGAAUUCUCGGUGUAGCGGUGAAAUGCGUAGAUAUCGAGAGGAACACCUGCGGCGAAGGCGGGUUGCUGGGCUGAUACUGACGCUGAGGCGCGAAAGCCAGGGGAGCGAACGGG
rnacentral:rRNA from 1 species